UCCGUCAUUUAGAUGAUUACAUGUGUCUUCAUUGCACACAUACAAACAUGGAUAAUCAUCAUUGUAGGAGUAAUCCUUAUGCAUAAGGAACUCACUACGUCGGUUGUACCAUAUGUACCGACAACAAUAAGUCGUAUGGUGACUUACUGAUUUUUACACAAUGUAUGUUGCAUUUUGCAUUUCAAUUCAGAAGUGAGAUUUCAU
rnacentral:lncRNA from 1 species